UAGAUUUAUUAUUACUAAAAAUGUAAAAUUUCUCGAAAACGCAAACAUCUGCGGCUUGAGUAAUUUUAUUUCUCCAAAUAAUUUCUUCUUUAAACUGACGGCGAUUUUCCGACUUGUGCGAGAGAUGAGUAUCCUUUCUUCCGUUGAAAAAUCAAUUCCAAUUUGCCGGUAAAAACAAAAAUCGAUUCCAGUUUCCCCCCAUUUCAAUCAACAGAAUUAGGGCAAACCAUAUAGAAAUUAUUCUUGUGCAACCAUAUAAAAAUUUCAGCUAGUCGGGACAACAACAAUUCUGAAGAAACUAAUCUUAAUCUCUGUUCUUCGUUUCACACUCGAGAUUGGAGGUUGUAGGUCUUUGUUUGGCUACAUUUUCAAUUAAUAUACGUUAUGUGUAGGAAGUUUCUGGAAUUUACCUGAGAGGGCAGCGAAAGCUCAAAUACUUGAAUGGUUGGAGAGACAGAUUCGACAAAUCGGCCUUUCUGACUUGAUGGAGAAAUUUCAUUUUCCUCAGGGUGCUGAUUCUGCAAUUUGUCAGAUGCUCCCUGAGGGUACCCACUCCCUUCUGGUACAACCAGUGUCAGGAGAUCCUAACUCCACUGCUAAUGAGACAACAAAGAAAAUUGUGGGAUUCAUCUUGUUGGCUUCCUGCAUGAGUUAUGCAUACAAUGAUACAGACAGAGCCUGGACAAGUGCAGUUGCUGACAAAUUUAAAGAUCGAGUUCCUCAACAGCUUUGGAAUUUAGUUUAACUUACUGCUGCAUUUGGCCUUGAUUCCACAAUCUCUACGUUGUUAUAGUGGAAAGAUGCUUGAAUUGCUGCUUGCUGGAGAAGUAUUGAUCCAAUUGACAGUGUUGGUGCAAUCAGACAACCCUAACAUCAUUGCGAUUUUUAAGAAGAAGAUAUUGAAGACCUAAUUUUGAACCUGUGAAAUUUUCUCUUGUAACUUGUGGUUUGGAAUUGGAAACUCAAAGCUGCCAUGUUCGUUCAAAGCUCUAACUACUACAGUUAGUGCUCUUUCUCUGUUGGUUUGCACCCUAUUUCAGUGGAUAAAACAUUUCUUUGUUUCAAGAUAAGGGUAGGUUUCUGUUUGGAGGGAAACAAAUCUUAUAGACCAGUAUAACCAUAUAUGAGCUGAAGGAAUAUAUUAGAUUCUCAAGUUUUUGUUUGUACUCUCUUUGGAAAUAUUACAGUGUAACUAGGUAAAUUUUUGGUAAAUCAUUGAGAAAACUCAGGACUGUAAAUGUUUCUUACAUCCUGUACUCUGUUGUAUCUGUAAAGUUGUGUACGUACAUUUAAUUCUUGGAAUUAAACAAUGAUGAAGAUUGAAGA